AAAAGGCUUUAAACACUUUCCAUAAGAAAGAAAAUUUACUAUCGUGUUUAUUAAAAUCAAAAUGCUUCAGGGAUGAUCUAUUGAGCAUUUUAAUUGAGAGUUUAUAUGAAUAACAACAUUAUGUAAGUCCAUAUGUAUUUACAUCCAGAGUCAUAUUUUAAAUAAACAAUCAUGCAGUGAUUUUUUUCGCAUGCUUUUGUUUUAAGAAAUACUUCUGCCAGUUUAGUUGAUUUUAAUUAUGUGACUUUUAAAUUCAGAAUUUCUAUAUGUGAUGAUUGAAGAGAUAAUUUAAUUUCCUCAAAUACCUUCUUGUUAUUUUCUACAAUAUUUUUUACUUAAUGGGUGCUCAUUAAAUAAUUGAAAUGUGUAUAGAAAAUAAUACAAAUACACUUAAAUUUUCAUUAUCCACACAAAUGAAAUGGUCACAUCACAAUUAACUUACAUGCUCUGUUUUCAUAGAGUCAUGUUACAGAGAUUUAUAACAUGGCAGGUCUCAUGUUCUAAAAUACUGGAUUUCUCUUACCACCGUGAAACACUGCUUACUUGAUUUUCCUUUGGUCCCACAGUUUGCUUUUAGCUAAGAUAGAACAUUUGCUGUUGUGCUUACCAGAACUUUAAAGGGAUUGGUGUAAACCAAGUCAGCAGGUCACCCUUACAGACAUUCUUUAGUUAAAAAUGAGGUUUGCUUGUUUUUUAAAACAGCAAAAAUGUUCAAGUGGAUCUCAUUGACUGAAACAAUAUAAUUAGACAUUUCAGAAAAUGCUUAUACAGCCUGAAAGUGGCAAUGGUAUGAUUAAAAGGCUAGAAACCUAGGCAAACAUACGUUACAAAACAAGAAAUUUAAAUAUCUUAUGAGAAAGAACCACAGCCAGUUAAAAACCAAGUCAACUACAAGAAAUAUUUGUGGAGAGGUGUGUUAGUGACUCUGUAUGUGGUAUAACUUUUAUGUUAUUAGAGAAAGUCAAACUGAAUAACAGGGCAGCACAUUAAAAGUUAAUAAAAUAUUAAAUG
rnacentral:lncRNA from 1 species